rnacentral:tRNA from 1 species
GCUCCAGUGGUGUAGACCGGUCAAGCAUAUCGGCCUUUCAAGCCGGGGAUCCCGGGUUCAAAUCCCGGCUGGAGCA